AAGUAAAAAGUCAAAUAGCGCGCGCGCAGCGCGCGCUUGUAAUGUUCUAGUAUAAAAAAUAGUACAUUAUGUAACAAGUGCGAGAAGUUGGUCUUUCUGGCAUAAAUGUUAAAGAACAAUCUGUGUUACACACCGUAGUAUAGUUACUCGUGUCAAUAUAGCUCCUUAAAGGAGCGGGUCCAAUAGAGAUAACGUUACCAUAACCAUAAACGUAAGAAGUUGAAAGACUGGUCUGAAAGAACCUAUUAAAGAGUCUACAAUGCCGAUGAAGAUAUCCGUAAAAGUUGAUUAAUUGAACUUUUUUGGUUACAGUAAGAGGCUAGAUUUCUUUCACAAUGGACCACACAGAUCACCGUUUAAUAGAAUUAGUAGAAAAAUGUACACAUCUGUACGAUAAAAAAAGUCCUGAUUAUAAGGACAAAAUAAAAACGCAAAAUUCAUGGCACAAUAUUGCAAAAUUAUUGAAUGCAACAGCUGCUGACUGUGAACAUCGUUGAACCCAACUAGGAGAACGUUUCACUCGUGAGAGACGAACAUAUUAAAAGCUGGGCUUCCAUCCGGCUCAGGAUCCUCGCAACAAUCAACUUCUAGUAAGCUGUAUAAAGCUCUACAACUUAGAAUCCCGCUUUCAAAGUAGAAAGUAUGUUAUUUUGUUGAUUUAUGUAUCUUUACAAAAUUUAUGAUAUCAUGCAUAUCAAGGGGCACGAUAGUGUCUCGCCAAGUGUAUGUGCCUCUAUUUACGCGAGAUGCCGUUUGCGAGAUUCCGUAGAUGUAGAUUAUCGGAUCUCAAUAAUGGCUGAAUCGGUUGAUUUCUAAAUAAACUUAAUGGAUAGCUUAUAUCUGAUUUAUAUGACAAAA